AAAAACAGUUUAUCCAAAUAGUUUUCCACAUUCCUCCCAUUUCUGUUUUUUUUUUUCCUUGAAAGAUAUGCUUUCCUCCUUCCCUUCUCUCCCUUUUUUACAUGCCUACCCCGCCUCUGCUUGUUCUGCCUUCCUCUUCUUUUCUUCUGCUCUCAUCGAAAUUCCGCUGUGUAAUUCCCUCUCUGAGGACACCCAUUGAUCUCUCCCCUUCCUGCACCAUUUGAGAAAAUGCAGGGCGGGCAAAGCUUGGAUUCUGAAACGUCAGAAAAGAGAGCAGCAGAGGAGGAGGACGGAGAAGGACGACACAGGCAAACUGAAGAACGAGGGAAAGAAAAAAGAAAAAAGAUCAUAUCUCCUCCCCGUAUCUCGAUGCUCGUGGACUCAUCAGACUCCUCACCUUGUGAAACUGCAUCUGGUGUGUGACUGAUCAUCUGGCUCUUGUGCCACGCUUGUUUUCACUCUGCAAAAAGAGAAGCCAUUUUCUCUCAAAUGAAGCUCACAAGGGCCCGUUCACAAGACAGAGGACAGAGCAGCUUGUGUGUGUACGUAUGUGCGGGGGGGGGGGGUUCUCUCUUCCCUUUCCUGUCUCAUUGUUCCAUGUGUGUGUGUGUGUGUGUGUGUGUGUGUGUGCUGACAGUAAGUAUAGUGACGGAUGCCCCUCUUCCCUCAUUCUUGAUGCCUUUAGUGAGGCGGACUCCCGCAUUAAAAAACAAAUAAACUGCCACAUAAAGA